rnacentral:rRNA from 1 species
UGCCAGUAGUCAUACGCUCGUCUCAAAGAUUAAGCCAUGCAUGUGUAAGUAUAAAUAAUUUAUACUUUGAAACUGCGAAUGGCUCAUUAUAUCAGUUAUAGUUUAUUAGAAAUAUUUUACUACUUGGAUAACCGUAGUAAUUCUAGGGCUAAUACAUGAGUAAAACCUCAACUUCGGAAGAGGUGUGUUUAUUAGUAUGAAAACCAUAUAUCUUCGGAUAUAAUAGUGAGUAAUAAUAACCUUUCAUAUCGUAUGUCGUAAGAUAACGAUAGUUCUUUCAAGUUUCUGCCCUAUCAGCUUUCGAUGGUAGUAUAUGGGACUACCAUGGCAGUAACGGGUAACGAAGAAUUUGGGUUCGAUUUCGGAGAGGGAGCCUGAGAGAUGGCUACCACAUCCAAGGAAGGCAGCAGGCGCGUAAAUUACCCAAUCCUGACAUAGGGAGGUAGUGACAAUAAAUCACAAUGCGGAACUUUUAGUUUUGCAAUUGGAUUGAGAACAAUGUACAAAUGUUAUCGAUAAACAAUUGGAGGGCAAGUCUGGUGCCAGCAGCCGCGGUAAUUCCAGCUCCAAUAGCGUAUAUUAACGUUGUUGCAGUAAAAAAAGC